rnacentral:lncRNA from 1 species
GUUAUUUGCAAUGUAAGUAUGUUUAUACGUUUGCAAUGCCAUAUUUCAUGACUCAAAAUGAAUUUGCUGACAGCAGCAUCAGCACCUGUAGAAAUCUCAUUAUAUCCCACAUCCAGACCUUCAGAAACAUAUCUAGCGUGCAUUGAACGUUACUUGAAAUAGCAUUGCCAAACUUGCCCUCAGAUAUUUCACACCUGUCAAUCCCAUGCCAGUAACAACACAUGAACAGAGCUGUCCGUUACUUAAGAAGUUUUGGCACAGUUAGAGUAGGAACUGUAAUUUCUUUAAAAAUUGGCACGUAGUUUGGAUUGGGUUGGCUCGGCCCUUGAUCCAAAGUCUCAAUGAUAGUCUGCUUCAUGUCUCUGCUGGCAUCUCCUCUCACCGUCAGCAAGGCUGCAAUGUGGUCAUCCCUGAUAUCUGGGUAUUUACUGACUAAAGUUGAGACUUCCAGAUAGAGCAGGGAAGGAUCAGUUAGUUUGAUAACCUCUGCAAUAGCUUCAAUGAUAUCACAGAGUCCUUCAGUGUCCUCUCCAGAUCCAGAUGCAAGCUUCUUAAACAGAAAUCUGAACUGUUCUGCUUCUUUGAUCAUUUUUUCUGCGCCCUCUUUUCUCUCUUCUGCAUUCUUGAAAGAGAUACGUUUUAACAUGAUUGCCCUGAUGUAUUCCACAACCACCCUUCGAUGGGCCUCCAUAGUCAUCGUCUUUUUAUAAGGCUUUUUUAUUUUUGCAAAGUCAUUAAAAUAAUCCUCUACAGUGACACAAAUAGUUCC